rnacentral:rRNA from 1 species
AUUGAACGCUGGCUGCAGGCCUAACCCAUGCAAGUCGAACGAGUCGCGGACGGGUGAGUAAUGUCUGGGAAACUGGCUUAUGGAGGGGUCUAACUACUGGAAACUGUAGCUAAUCCCGCCUACCAUCGGAUUCCCCCAGAUGGGUUUAGCUAGUAGGUGGGGUAACGGCUCCCCAAGCCGACGAUCCCUCCCUGGUCUGAGAGGAUGACGAGCCACACUGGAAUUGAGAAACGGUCCAGCUUCUUACGGGAGGCAGCAGGGGGGAAUAUUGGACAAUGGGGGCAAGCCUGAUGCAGCCCUGCCGCGGGUAUGAAGAAGGCCUUCGGGUUGUAAAGUACGUUAAGCGGGGAGGCGGUACCCGAAGAAGAAGCACCGGCUAACUCCGUGCCAGCAGCCGCGGUAAUUC